AAUCUACCCAGCUCUACGGAAUAACUCAGGGAAACUUGUGCUAAUACCGUAUACGUCCGAUAGGAGAAAGAUUUAUCGGAGUUGGAUGAGCCCGCGUUGGAUUAGCUAGUUGGUGGGGUAAAGGCCUACCAAGGCGACGAUCCAUAGCUGGUCUGAGAGGAUGAUCAGCCACACUGGGACUGAGACACGGCCCAGACUCCUACGGGAGGCAGCAGUGGGGAAUAUUGGACAAUGGGCGCAAGCCUGAUCCAGCCAUGCCGCGUGAGUGAUGAAGGCCCUAGGGUUGUAAAGCUCUUUCACCGGUGAAGAUAAUGACGGUAACCGGAGAAGAAGCCCCGGCUAACUUCGUGCCAGCAGCCGCGGUAAUACGAAGGGGGCUAGCGUUGUUCGGAAUUACUGGGCGUAAAGCGCACGUAGGCGGAUUGUUAAGUUAGGGGUGAAAUCCCAGGGCUCAACCCUGGAACUGCCUUUAAUACUGGCAAUCUAGAGUCCGAGAGAGGUGAGUGGAAUUCCGAGUGUAGAGGUGAAAUUCGUAGAUAUUCGGAGGAACACCAGUGGCGAAGGCGGCUCACUGGCUCGGUACUGACGCUGAGGUGCGAAAGCGUGGGG
rnacentral:rRNA from 1 species